rnacentral:rRNA from 1 species
AGGGCGCAAGGUGAAUGCCUUGGCACUGGGAGCCGAUGAAAGACGUGGUAAGCUGCGAAAAGCUUCGGGGAGGAGCAAACAUCCAUUGAUCCGGAGAUAUCUGAAUGGGGCAACCCAAUGGAGUUCAUACUCCAUUAUCCAAUACUGAAUCCAUAGGUAUUGGAAGGGAACCGCCUGAACUGAAACAUCUAAGUAGGGCGAGGAAGAGACAUCAAACGAGAUUCCGUAAGUAGUGGCGAGCGAACGCGGAAGAGGGCAAACCGAGAGGAGAAAUCCUUUCGGGGUACGGACUGCUUUUAGGACUGGAAGAGUUAACAGAAUGGCAUGGGAAGGCCAACCGAAGAGUGUGAGAGUCACGUAAGUAAAAAUUCUGACAGCUGCGCAGGAUCCAGAGUACGGCCAGACACGUGAAACCUGGUCGGAACACGGGGGGACCACCCUCCAACCCUAAAUACUACCCAGUGACCGAUAGCGUAUAGUACUGUGAAGGAAAGGUGAAAAGGACCCCGGGAGGGGAGUGAAAGAGAACCUGAAACCUUGUGCCUACAAGCACAUAGAGCCCGUCAAAGGGUGAUAUGGUACUUUUUGUAGAACGGUCCGGCGAGCGAUUGUACGUUGCGAGCUUAAGGUCUUAAGGACUGGAGGCGUAGCGAGAGCGAGUCUAAACAGGGCGUUUAGUAGCGUGCAAUGGGCCCGAAACCGGGUGACCUACCCAUGAUCAGGCUGAAGUGAAAGUAAAAUUUCAUGGAGGGCCGAACCGACCUCCGUUGAAAAGGCGGCGGAUGAAUUGUGGGUAGCGGAGAAAUUCCAAUCGAACUCGGAGAUAGCUGGUUCUCCCCGAAAUAGCUUUAGGGCUAGCCUCAUGUUAGAUAUCCGGAGGUAAAGCACUGAAUGGCCUAGCGUCCGAGAGGAUAGCGAAGCCUAUCAAACUAAGAAUGCCGGAAUAUUGAUGCAUGGGAGUCAGACAGUGUGAGAUAAAUCUCAUUGUCAAAAGGGAAACAGCCCAGAUCUACAGCUAAGGUCCCAAAUUGUAUCUAAGUGGAAAACGAUGUGGAAAUACGCAGACAACCAGGAUGUUGGCUCAGAAGCAGCCACUCAUUUAAAGAGUGCGUAAUAGCUCACUGGUCGAGCGUCUCUGCGCGGAAAAUUUAACGGGGCUAAGAUACAAACCGAAGCUUAGGCUGCAUACGGAAGUAUGCGGGGUAGGGGAGCGUUGUGUAAGCGGAGAAACAGUAGCGUAAGCGGCUGUGGAGUUUACAGAAGUGAGAAUGCCGGAAUGAGUAGCGCGAAUGAUGUGAGAAUCAUCAUGGCCGGAAACCUCAGGUUUUUGGAGGAAGGUUCGUCCGCUCCAAGUUAGGCGGGAGCUAAGGUGAGGCCGAAAGGCGUAGCCGAUGCACAGACGGUAGAGAUUCCGUCCCCACCGAAAGAUUUAAGCGCAGGGACACUUUUAGAAGGUCGGAGCCAGGUGUUGGUUCUGGUAGAGAUCGAGGGAAAUUAAGUACCGAAGUCCGGCUGGAUAAGAGGCGAGAAAAGCUGCGUGUAUAUCUAAGGUGCCCGUACCGCAAACCGACACAGGUAGGUAGGAAGAAGAUUCUAAGGCCAACGGGAGAAGGGUUGUUAAGGAACUCGGCAAAUUGACCCCGUAACUUCGGGAGAAGGGGUGCUCCAGAGAUGGAGCCGCAGAGAAUCGGCCCAAGCAACUGUUUACCAAAAACACAGGUUUGUGCUAAAUCGAAAGAUGACGUAUACGAGCUGACGCCUGCCCGGUGCUGGAAGGUUAAAAGGAGAUGUGCAAGCAUUGAAUUGAAGCCCCAGUGAACGGCGGCCGUAACUAUAACGGUCCUAAGGUAGCGAAAUUCCUUGUCAGGUAAGUUCUGACCCGCAUGAAAGGCGUAAUGAUUUGGGCACUGUCUCAACAGCCCGCCCGGCGAAAUUGUAGUACCGGUGAAGAUGCCGGUUACCCGCGACAAGACGGAAAGACCCCAUGGAGCUUUACUGUAGCCUAAUAUUGGGUUUCGAUGUUGCAUGCACAGGAUAGAUGGGACACUGGGAAGCAGGUGCUUUGGCGCUUGUGGAGUGGCCGUUGGGAUACCAUCCUUGCGAUAUUGGAAUUCUAACCUGCGCCUUUGAAUCAAGGCGGGGGA